AAUGAACGCUGGCGGCGUGCUUAACACAUGCAAGUCGCACGAGAACGCUUCUGCUUGCAGAGGCUAGUAAAGUGGCGCACGGGUGAGUAACGCGUGGGUAAUCUACCCCUGGAUUCGGGAUAACCCUUCGAAAGGAGUGCUAAUACCGGAUGAUAUCAUAUAGACUGCGGUUUAGAUGAUGAAAGAUGGCCUCUCCAUGGAAGCUAUUGUUUGGGGAUGAGCCCGCGUACCAUUAGCUAGUUGGUGGGGUAACGGCCUACCAAGGCAGCGAUGGUUAGCUGGUCUGAGAGGAUGAUCAGCCACACUGGAACUGACACACGGUCCAGACUCCUACGGGAGGCAGCAGUGAGGAAUUUUGCGCAAUGGGGGAAACCCUGACGCAGCAACGCCGCGUGAGUGAAGAAGGCUUUCGGGUCGUAAAGCUCUGU
rnacentral:rRNA from 1 species